GUACACUCAAACAGCAAUAGACUCAGUCCGUACAGGAUUUCGCUGAGGUAUUUUGUGAUUGCUACGGCCAAAAAUGCUUGAUUUUGCUACGACUUUUUUCGAAAUUGGCAGUGCAAAAAAAGGUGAAUUGGUGAAAUUGCAGUUGCACAACAUAGUUUUGCAUGGUCUUUUGCUGGUAAAUGAGACCUUUUAGCUGUACUUAUAAUCAACGCACGUGCAUUGAAGGUGGCUUUGGCUGCAUGUUGUGAUGACGUCACAUGACGCGUCUUGGACCAAGUCUGUGGAAAAUCUGCAGUAAUUUUGAAAAAUUGCUAAAAUUGCAGUGUUUCUUUGAUUUUGCAUUAAUCUGCGAUCGCAAAAUCCUGGAGCGACUAAUAGUCUUUAAUCCUGUUUAAUUACCCCAUGCCUGUUUAUCCCUCUAUUUAGUUUUACUUAUUAAUGCUGUCAAAGGAGUUAGAGCAUGAUGCAUCUUCCCUUUUCUUUCUUUUUUUUUCUUUUUUUUAACAGAUAAGUCCUUUGAUGUGACCAAGUUCUCUAGUAAUGGGAUCAUCACAACUAGCUUGAAUGACAUCAUGAGAGACUUCGAGAGCCUGAUAUGCAGGACUCAAGCUGAAGACUCACUGCCCAUUGUUCCGGCUCCAGAGCCAGAUUCGUGCAUGGAUGAGGAGGACAUGUCCCUAGACUCGGAUGAGGAUGCAACCAUGCAAGCGGAGGACAGGGCAGUGGAGAAGCAGGCCACUCUACCUCUUCAACCUGUGAGCGAGGACAUUCUGCCCCCUCUCUCUGACCCACAUAAAACAGUCCCUCUGUCCUCUUGUUCUGUGGAUUACAAUGUUCUCAAGGCGGCCAUCUCACAGUAUAAAGCUACUAAGCAGGCUGGAACAUCCAUGCCUGGGGGGGAGGACAACUUGGUUGGUUUUGGUGUGAACCCCCACCAGAGCUACUUGUACCCCAACUCAGCACAGUGGAGCCCCUAUUCCGGUUCUCCAGGCUAUCACAUGAGCUCUACCUAUUCUUCACCUGCAUGCUCAACUUUGCAAGGACAGGAGUACAGCCAAGUGAGCAGCAUGAGUGUAACCCCUGCCAGCACUGUCCCCCUGUCCCAAACUGCUAAUCAGGCUAACCCCAACUCUUCUUGUGUGAACCCACCUGCUAACACUGCUCCCCCGGGCCUGUCCCAAACCUCCUGCAGGGAGGACAUAGUUCCGGAUGGGCUGUCCUGCUCUCAACCCUUGCCUCAGGCUCAAACUCAGUCUCUUGAUGACAGUCAGCCAUUUUUGCCUGGCUCUCAAGAUACACAGACUAAAGCCAUGGAACCUCCUGUCCUCGCUUCCUCUUCUUCCUCCUCUAUACCUUGCACUAUGCCCAGCUACCCAGAUGGUCCUGUAUUCCCUGGGCCCAUACCCACACCCCCUGUGCCACCCAUGUAUAACUGGGCACCUCCAACAAGGGCACAGAAUAGCUAUGCUUCGGGGGGGAACACAGCACCUUUUGGGAAGAAUGAAGGUGCAGCAUCAACUGAAGGAUUAUGCAUAGGGCCUGGCGAGGGUUUGACUCUUAAUAAUAAAGUUGAUGGAAGUACGUCUGGCACACCGCCUUCCUCAUUACAGUACCAGGAUGGAGGGACUGAGAAAAGCAACACAUCGGGCAGUGUAAUGCCCUGCAGUCAGGGGAGUAGGACAUCAGUAGACUCUUGCACAGAGAGCCACAGAGGUGGCAUGACACAUGCCCGAGGCAUGACACAUGUCCGAGGCAUGUCUGGAGGGGGCAUGCCUUGCAACCCCAGAGGGCUCCUACCCCGGCCUGGAGUCACGAUGCGUCCUGCAUGCCGAGGAGGGCCACACGGGCCGAUCCCACACAGUGGGAACCGCAUGUUUGGCCCCCGAGGGCCCAUUCCAGGGCUUAUGGACAUCAGACGUGGAGGCUUCAGAGGUAGAGGAAUGCCCCCCAUGCCCAUGAGGUCCAGACCGGGCAGAGGGUCAAUGUGGGGAGGAACGCACUGUAACCGGGGCUAUGGUCCUCCAAAGGAUUACUACUCAGACUACACUUACUAAAAGGUUGGGAGCAGUCAGUACUUACAGACUACUGCCAUACAGAAUGUAUAUAGUCAACAUGAAGAGCACAUUUAAAUUUAAGGAAAAAAAGAGAAAGAAUUGGUUUUGUACCAUUAGAUCAACAAAUCAGACUGCGACCAGGAUUGUGUAACUCAAAAAUGCUCUUCUUUAAUGAGUUGUUUGAAACCUUGUUCAGACCACUAUAUUUAUAUCGCCAAGAAAUGUAAUUGCCUUUCAAUGUUUUUUUUUGUGUUAUAAUUUUCAAAAUGGUUUGUGAACAAGGGGCAAACGCAGACAAUAUUUUUUUAAAAAGAAAAAAGUGAAUCACUCUUCAUUUUAGCUGCUUUUGUUUUGUUUUGUUUUGUUUUUUUACAUUCUUGGUUGUACAAAUGUUCUAUUAAACAAGGUUGUAUCAAACAUAUUGUGUUGAGUAUAUUACCCUGAGAUUCUUUUAUUUAUAUUUAUGUUAAUACAUUUCAAAGCAUUGUUUGUUUACAGAUAUCGUAUUGAGGCUGUUGAAUCCCGCACACUUCUGCUGUCUGACCAAAAGAGGGCAGCUUUUCCUCUCGGUUUGGAGGAAUGUGGCAGAAUUGGAAUUAAGUUUCACCAUGCAGAGAUGAUUUUGUUUUAUUUGGAUGUAUUUUUUAAUCUUACACUUUUGUAGGUUUGGAAUAUAACUGCUCUGUUUUAUAAAUUUCUCUUAAGUGGGGAGACAGUUUGUGUCUUCAUUUUAUCAAUAUAUUGCCUCUUGUAUGUGUUCAACUAAAUCUACG
ensembl:lncRNA